rnacentral:miRNA from 1 species
AAAACCAGAAUGAACUUUUUUG